rnacentral:lncRNA from 1 species
UACAACAAAACCUAAAGCUGCAAAAAACUCCUUAGUGGCAAAUUCAGGCAAAAGACUGUACAUGGUUUGCUUCAUCAGGCGCCAGAGGAGACGAGCAAAGAACAAUUCUGACUGAUACACCUACUGUUGGAAGGGCAAACAACAUGCAUUCAAUUCACGGAAAAAUACAAACAAAAUCUCAUUUUAGUAAAGAUGUAUUCUGAAAAUUGUUAGAAAGUAAUGAUGGAUAUGACUGAGCAUAGGGCUUCUAAGAACCUGAAAUUUUAUGAAGACAGUACUAGAACCAAACUGAAGGGUUUCGGAAUUGUGUCCCAAUUGCAUUCAAC